rnacentral:rRNA from 1 species
GUGCCAGCAGCCGCGGUAAUUCCAGCUCCAAUAGCGUAUAUUAAAGUUGUUGUGGUUAAAAAGCUCGUAGUUGAACCUUGGGCCUGGCUGGCCGGUCCGCCUCACCGCGUGCACUGGUCCGGCCGGGCCUUUCCCUCUGUGGAACCCCAUACCCUUCACUGGGCGUGGCGGGGAAACAGGACAUUUACUUUGAAAAAAUUAGAGUGCUCCAGGCAGGCCUAUGCUCGAAUACAUUAGCAUGGAAUAAUAAAAUAGGACGCGCGGUUCUAUUUUGUUGGUUUAUAGGACCGCCGUAAUGAUUAAUAGGGACAGUCGGGGGCAUCAGUAUUCAACUGUCAGAGGUGAAAUUCUUGGAUCAGUUGAAGACUAACUACUGCGAAAGCAUUUGCCAAGGAUGUUUUCAUUAAUCAGGAACGAAAGUUAGGGGAUCGAAGACGAUCAGAUACCGUCGUAGUCUUAACCAUAAACUAUGCCGACUAGGGAUCGGACGGUGUUAUUCAUGACCCGUUCGGCACCUUACGAGAAAUCAAAGUGCUUGGGCUCCAGGGGGAGUAUGGUCGCAAGGCUGAAACUUAAAGAAAUUGACGGAAGGGCACCACCAGGGUGGAGCCUGCGGCUUUAAUUUGACUCAACACGGGGAAACUCAUCCAGGGUCCAGACACAAUAAGGGAUUGACAGAUUGAGAGCUCUUUUCUUGAUUUUGUGGGUGGUGGUGCAUGGCCGUUCUUAGUGGUGGGGGUGACUUGUCUGCUUAAUUGCGAUAACGAACGAGGACCUUAACCUGCUAAAAUAGCCCGCCAUUGCUUC